GGGUUGUGAGGUUAAGCGACUAAGCGUACACGGUGGAUGCCCUGGCAGUCAGAGGCGAUGAAGGACGUGCUAAUCUGCGAUAAGCGUCGGUAAGGUGAUAUGAACCGUUAUAACCGGCGAUUUCCGAAUGGGGAAACCCAGUGUGUUUCGACACACUAUCAUUAACUGAAUCCAUAGGUUAAUGAGGCGAACCGGGGGAACUGAAACAUCUAAGUACCCCGAGGAAAAGAAAUCAACCGAGAUUCCCCCAGUAGCGGCGAGCGAACGGGGAGCAGCCCAGAGCCUGAAUCAGUGUGUGUGUUAGUGGAAGCGUCUGGAAAGGCGCGCGAUACAGGGUGACAGCCCCGUACACAAAAAUGCACAUACUGUGAGCUCGAUGAGUAGGGCGGGACACGUGGUAUCCUGUCUGAAUAUGGGGGGACCAUCCUCCAAGGCUAAAUACUCCUGACUGACCGAUAGUGAACCAGUACCGUGAGGGAAAGGCGAAAAGAACCCCGGCGAGGGGAGUGAAAAAGAACCUGAAACCGUGUACGUACAAGCAGUGGGAGCACGCUUAGGCGUGUGACUGCGUACCUUUUGUAUAAUGGGUCAGCGACUUAUAUUCUGUAGCAAGGUUAACCGAAUAGGGGAGCCGAAGGGAAACCGAGUCUUAACUGGGCGUUAAGUUGCAGGGUAUAGACCCGAAACCCGGUGAUCUAGCCAUGGGCAGGUUGAAGGUUGGGUAACACUAACUGGAGGACCGAACCGACUAAUGUUGAAAAAUUAGCGGAUGACUUGUGGCUGGGGGUGAAAGGCCAAUCAAACCGGGAGAUAGCUGGUUCUCCCCGAAAGCUAUUUAGGUAGCGCCUCGUGAAUUCAUCUCCGGGGGUAGAGCACUGUUUCGGCAAGGGGGUCAUCCCGACUUACCAACCCGAUGCAAACUGCGAAUACCGGAGAAUGUUAUCACGGGAGACACACGGCGGGUGCUAACGUCCGUCGUGAAGAGGGAAACAACCCAGACCGCCAGCUAAGGUCCCAAAGUCAUGGUUAAGUGGGAAACGAUGUGGGAAGGCCCAGACAGCCAGGAUGUUGGCUUAGAAGCAGCCAUCAUUUAAAGAAAGCGUAAUAGCUCACUGGUCGAGUCGGCCUGCGCGGAAGAUGUAACGGGGCUAAACCAUGCACCGAAGCUGCGGCAGCGACGCUUAUGCGUUGUUGGGUAGGGGAGCGUUCUGUAAGCCUGUGAAGGUGUACUGUGAGGUAUGCUGGAGGUAUCAGAAGUGCGAAUGCUGACAUAAGUAACGAUAAAGCGGGUGAAAAGCCCGCUCGCCGGAAGACCAAGGGUUCCUGUCCAACGUUAAUCGGGGCAGGGUGAGUCGACCCCUAAGGCGAGGCCGAAAGGCGUAGUCGAUGGGAAACAGGUUAAUAUUCCUGUACUUGGUGUUACUGCGAAGGGGGGACGGAGAAGGCUAUGUUGGCCGGGCGACGGUUGUCCCGGUUUAAGCGUGUAGGCUGGUUUUCCAGGCAAAUCCGGAAAAUCAAGGCUGAGGCGUGAUGACGAGGCACUACGGUGCUGAAGCAACAAAUGCCCUGCUUCCAGGAAAAGCCUCUAAGCAUCAGGUAACAUCAAAUCGUACCCCAAACCGACACAGGUGGUCAGGUAGAGAAUACCAAGGCGCUUGAGAGAACUCGGGUGAAGGAACUAGGCAAAAUGGUGCCGUAACUUCGGGAGAAGGCACGCUGAUAUGUAGGUGAAGUCCCUCGCGGAUGGAGCUGAAAUCAGUCGAAGAUACCAGCUGGCUGCAACUGUUUAUUAAAAACACAGCACUGUGCAAACACGAAAGUGGACGUAUACGGUGUGACGCCUGCCCGGUGCCGGAAGGUUAAUUGAUGGGGUUAGCGCAAGCGAAGCUCUUGAUCGAAGCCCCGGUAAACGGCGGCCGUAACUAUAACGGUCCUAAGGUAGCGAAAUUCCUUGUCGGGUAAGUUCCGACCUGCACGAAUGGCGUAAUGAUGGCCAGGCUGUCUCCACCCGAGACUCAGUGAAAUUGAACUCGCUGUGAAGAUGCAGUGUACCCGCGGCAAGACGGAAAGACCCCGUGAACCUUUACUAUAGCUUGACACUGAACAUUGAGCCUUGAUGUGUAGGAUAGGUGGGAGGCUUUGAAGUGUGGACGCCAGUCUGCAUGGAGCCGACCUUGAAAUACCACCCUUUAAUGUUUGAUGUUCUAACGUUGACCCGUAAUCCGGGUUGCGGACAGUGUCUGGUGGGUAGUUUGACUGGGGCGGUCUCCUCCUAAAGAGUAACGGAGGAGCACGAAGGUUGGCUAAUCCUGGUCGGACAUCAGGAGGUUAGUGCAAUGGCAUAAGCCAGCUUGACUGCGAGCGUGACGGCGCGAGCAGGUGCGAAAGCAGGUCAUAGUGAUCCGGUGGUUCUGAAUGGAAGGGCCAUCGCUCAACGGAUAAAAGGUACUCCGGGGAUAACAGGCUGAUACCGCCCAAGAGUUCAUAUCGACGGCGGUGUUUGGCACCUCGAUGUCGGCUCAUCACAUCCUGGGGCUGAAGUAGGUCCCAAGGGUAUGGCUGUUCGCCAUUUAAAGUGGUACGCGAGCUGGGUUUAGAACGUCGUGAGACAGUUCGGUCCCUAUCUGCCGUGGGCGCUGGAGAACUGAGGGGGGCUGCUCCUAGUACGAGAGGACCGGAGUGGACGCAUCACUGGUGUUCGGGUUGUCAUGCCAAUGGCACUGCCCGGUAGCUAAAUGCGGAAGAGAUAAGUGCUGAAAGCAUCUAAGCACGAAACUUGCCCCGAGAUGAGUUCUCCCUGACCCUUUAAGGGUCCUGAAGGAACGUUGAAGACGACGACGUUGAUAGGCCGGGUGUGUAAGCGCAGCGAUGCGUUGAGCUAACCGGUACUAAUGAACCGUGAGGCUUAACCUUACAACGCCGAAGGUGUUU
rnacentral:rRNA from 1 species